CAUCGUCAUCUUCUCCAGCUUCGGUGCCGUCACCAUUGUCUUAUGGACUCAACAUCUCACGGUGCUUUCUCUCGCUUCUACAGCGAGAAAGCUAGGGUUCUCAACAAAGAGGAGCAGGCCAAAGAGAACGUCUACAUCAAGAAACGGGAGAGAGAGGUCAGAGAAACAAAAGCAGCAAGCUGAGUAG